rnacentral:RNase_P_RNA from 1 species
GGAGCCAACGAAAUGGCCGCUUGCUGGUAUCAGCAAGAGGAAAGUCCGGGCAGCACAGAAUAAGACAGUCGCUAACGGCGACCGGGGGCGACCCUAGGGAAAGUGCCACAGAAACAUAUACCGCCUGGGGGCUCAGGCCACUAGGUAAGGGUGAAAAGAGUGAGGUAAGAGCUCACAGCAACGCAUGGUGACAUGCGGCGCGGGUAAACCCUGUCUGCUGCAAGGGGCGUGGGCAUAAUGAGUUAUUCGCUCGCCCAGGCCGUGAUCCGCUCGACCACACCAGCAAUGGUGUGGCUAGAUAGAUGGCCAUUCACGACAGAACCCGGCUUAUUGUUGGCUCCAUGU